rnacentral:lncRNA from 1 species
AGCACAAGGAACAAAUAGAAAUCACUUUGCAACAGAAUUUUGCUAGGUGGCAAGCAGUGGCUCUUUGUUCCCCUAUGACGUACAAAGGACUUAAAAGUGUUUGAGGAAAAGGAGAAAGCUGGAAAUCACCCCUUCCAACUGGCAGAAAGCUUUGACUCUCAGCCCUGCAAAGCUUUGAAGUCAUGAUACAUCUACAAGUAAAUCUGUCAUUUCUCCUACCCUUGUCUUGCUAGCCUGAGCCUUGAAGAACAGUUUUCACAAAUUUCUCCUCAGCAAAUAGAGAUGAUCUGUGCCCUGCUGCAUGCAAUCUUGUUCGAACUUGCCAGUGGGUUUAAUGUGAGCCUCAUCAGCAGUGGACCUGGAUAAGAAAUUGAGAUCAGCUGUUUCUUCACUCUGAGCCAGUCUGCCCACAACAGUGCUAGCAGUAAGAUGCCCUGACUACAUGAGAGGUAGCUGCUGCCUUGACCAGAGCAUCCUGGUAAGAUCCCCUACAGUAAGACCCAACUAAGAGAUGCGUGACCUCUCUCUGUCUUGUCUCUUGUCUCCUCUGCCCACUGGGUGAUUUUAGCCACAGCAAAACCAUAACAA